AAUAGAUACCCAGGUAGUCCACCCCGUAAACGUUGGGAACUAGUUGUGGGGUCCAUUCCACGGAUUCCGUGACGCAGCUAACGCAUUAAGUUCCCCGCCUGGGGAGUACGGCCGCAAGGCUAAAACUCAAAGGAAUUGACGGGGACCCGCACAAGCGGCGGAGCAUGCGGAUUAAUUCGAUGCAACGCGAAGAACCUUACCAAGGCUUGACAUACACGAGAACACCGUAGAAAUACGGGACUCUUUGGACACUCGUGAACAGGUGGUGCAUGGUUGUCGUCAGCUCGUGUCGUGAGAUGUUGGGUUAAGUCCCGCAACGAGCGCAACCCUCGUUCUAUGUUGCCAGCACGUUAUGGCGGGAACUCAUGGGAUACUGCCGGGGUCAACUCGGAGGAAGGUGGGGAUGACGUCAAAUCAUCAUGCCCCUUAUGUCUUGGGCUUCACGCAUGCUACAAUGGCCGGUACAAUGGGCUGCAAUACCGUGAGGUGGAGCGAAUCCCAAAAAGCCGGUCCCAGUUCGGAUUGAGGUCUGCAACUCGA
rnacentral:rRNA from 1 species